AUUGAACGCUGGCGGCAGGCCUAACACAUGCAAGUCGAACGAGUGGCGGACGGGUUAGUAAUGUCUGGGAAACUGCCUGAUGGCGGGGGAUAACUACUGGAAACGGUAGCUAAUACCGCAUACCAUCGGAUGUGCCCAGAUGGGAUUAGCUAGUAGGUGGGGUAAAGGCUCACCUGGGCGCCGAUCCCUAGCUGGUCUGAGAGGAUGACCAGCCACACUGGAACGGGGAGACGGUCCAGCCUCCUACGAGAGGCAGCAGUGGGUAAGAUUGCACUAUGGGCGCAAGGCUGAUGAAGCCAUGCCGCGUGUAUGAAGAAGGCAUUCGGGUUGUAAAGUACGUUCAGCGGGGAGGCGUUACCCGCAGAAGAAGGACCGGCUAACUCCGUGCCAGCAGCCGCGGUAAUAC
rnacentral:rRNA from 1 species